UACGGGGGGGGGCAAGCGUUGUUCGGAAUUACUGGGCGUAAAGGGCUCGUAGGCGGCCAACUAAGUCCGACGUGAAAUCCCCAGGCUUAACCUGGGAACUGCGUCGGAUACUGGAUGGCUUGAAUUCGGGAGAGGGAUGCAGAAUUCCAGGUGUAGCGGUGAAAUGCGUAGAUAUCUGGAGGAAUACCGGUGGCGAAGGCGGCAUCCUGGACCGACAUUGACGCUGAGGAGCGAAAGCUAGGGGAGCAAACGGGG
rnacentral:rRNA from 1 species